AGAUGGAAGGAUCCAUAUGGAAAGGACCUUAGAGCAACUUCCAGUUGCUGAGAGUGACCCCCGGUUUAUGCCAAUCAGAAAACAGGAACUUAGUUCUACAUGCACAGGAAUUGAAUUAUGGCAAGCACCUGAAUGAGUUUGGAAGAGAACCCAGAGCUUCAUAUAAGAAUGCAGCCCCAACUGAAACCUUGAUUUUUGCCAUGUGGGGUCUUGAGUAGAGAACUUUGCCUAAAAGAAGGCCAGUGUGGCUACAGAAUGGUGGACAAGGAGAGAAAAAAUGGGUCGUCAUGCCUUUGACCAUUGUAAAAUAGAUUUUUUUUUUUAAAGCAAAGGAGCAGCAUAAUGAAAUUUAAACAAUAAUUCAGUUUGCUAGUUAUAGUAUGGAUUGGAUUGGGUGAGGGAUGGAGAAUCAAAAAAGUUGAAUUACUUUGGAAACAAUUGUAACAUACUAGGCAGUGGGUGAGAGUGGUUUGGACCAGGUGACAAUUAUUAGAGACCUAUGGAAACUGUGUGAUAAUAAAUUUGUAUUAAUUGGUAAGUAGUAGAAUAUGUCUCAAAGAAAAGUAUAAAUAGUAACAUGUUAGAUAGUAUAUUCUUGUAAGAAUUUGAAGGACAGUCUUUAUGGGAAAAGUGUUUGAUGAGGGCCUAGAAGAAUUCGAAUUUGAUUUUAAAAACAAGGUGAAGCCAUACUAGGCCAGUAGUUCUCAAAUUUGGCAGCAUAUUAGAUUACCUGGGUGGUGCUUUAAAGAUGCUAAUAGCAGGGUUUCUAAUUGGUUUGGAUGCUACUUAGGAUUGUUAAAAAGUCUCAGGUGUUUGCAGUAGACCAAGUAAAGAAAAUCAGGCUCAACAAUGAGAAUGCUUGCGUGUGUGCUCAGUUGUGUCUGACUCUGCGGCCCCAUGGACCAUAGCCCAUCAGGCUCCCGGGUCUGUGGGAUUCUCCAGGCAGAUUCUUUACCAUUGGGCCACCUGGGAAGCCCCCACCAACUAAGAUGGGCGUGAUCCAAUUGAUUGAAGGCCUGAGGAGAACAAAAAGAUGGAGGCAGGGGGCAUUUGCUUUCUCUGAACUGAGACGUUCGUUUCGUCCUGGCCUACUAGAUCAGCACUCCUGGUUCUUGGGCUUUUGGACCCAAAUUGUGAAAUCAGUGCCCCAGUUCUCAGGGCUAUGGAUUCCGACUUAACUACGCCACCAGUUUUCCUGAUUUUUCCAGCUUGCAAGACGGCAGACCAGGGAACUUCUCAGUAUUCAUAACUACGCCUUGGUUAGGUAUUCCUACUGGAGGCUCCAAUGUGAAUUGAACGCACUUAAGUACAACCAAAGUGUCCUGAAUUAGACAUGGCGAAGAAUGGUAGAAAGAUUGAGGGCAAGAAGAGAAGAGGGCGACAGAGGAUGAAAUGGUUUGAUGGCGUCACUGACUCAAUGAACAUGAGUUUGAGCAAACUCAGGGAGAUAGUGAUGGACAGGGAAGCCUGGUGUGUUGCAGUCCAUGGGGUUGCAAAGAGUCGGACAAGACUUAGCGACUGAACAACAACAAACAACAAGGAAUGGUAGUGAAUUCCAUCCUGCACGCCUGACACGGGUCCUUGAAGACUCUACUGAAUAUGUUUCCAACAGGAGAGAAAACCAUUUUUCCUCACUUUACGUGCAAUGGUGACUGGGCUGAUGACUGUUCAAGGUUCCUUCACAGGAUUAUGUUACUGUGGGGUCAGUGGUAACAAUCUCACAUGCUAUGCAAGUGGCAGGAAUAUCUCCUGAGGACAGUGGUUUCAGCUCUCUGUGUGGUCCACUGCUUAGCUCCUCUCUUCAGGCUUCUGCGUCUCUUUCUGUAGCCUUUACUCCUAACAUAGAGUUUUAAAGUAGCUCUGAAAAAGAUGUUCUUUAAAUAAUGUAUGCCAUACUAUGUGUUUACGUUGGAAGAAUAUUUUUUAUAUUGUGCUUUGUCCCACGAGGUGAAUACAUUACAAAUAAUAAAAUUUUACUCAUUACCAGAUAAAUAUUUGUUAGUAGCCAGGCAAGUAAUGGGGUACCUCCUCCCUCAAACACACACAAACACAUUUAUCUGCUUUACACAACUAUUUCACUCAUUACCAGUAAUCAAGAUGGGAGGAUAUGUAAGCUUGAAAAGCUGAAGUUCAUUUCCACCAUGUGUGAGUCUUUAAUAAAAAUUCCCUAAACUUUC